rnacentral:lncRNA from 1 species
AGGCAGGAAACAGGGAUUUAAAAAAAGUUUGGGGAUGGGUGUGGGGCACUGUAAGCCAGGUGGUAGGUGGGGAGGAGAAGAGGACUGAGGAGGCGGCCUAAGGAUUUUCUAAAUGGCCCAGGCUUCUGGGAGGGAAGCACCUUCUGCAUCUCUUUUCCUCCCUCCCUCACCUGCCUUUGCUGGUGUGGCCCAGUGGCCCCUCUCUGUGGGAAGAGACAGAAGAAAAUGAAAAAAACCACCAUUGUGUGUAUUCGCAUGCGUGUGGGCGUCCUCUCAGGGGGAAGUGGCCCUGUCUUUGCACUGCCCCCAUUCCAAGUAGAUCAGGAAAACAUGCGGCCUGAUUGUUGGCCCUACACUUAGGACUCCAGAUAAUUACAUUCACAGAGAGUGUGCACUAGCCCUGGAGGUGAGAAUGACUACUCCAGCCCUCUUCCCAAGCUCAUUCCCUGUGGCAGCUGAACACGUGAAGGAUGGAGUGGAAAAGCUCUGGAAGUGUGCAUGUGUGUAAAAAGGACUCAAGUCGCCAACAUUAGCUGAACCCACACACUGAGUGGGGUCCCUGCGUGUUUCUGUGCCUGCGUGUUAAGGAGUGGUGGUAUGGGUUGGGUCCUCUGUCCCUGGGAGAUUCUGUGCCUGCGUGUUAAGGAGUGGUGGUAUGGGUUGGGUCCUCUGUCCCUGGGAGAAAGUCCGCCACUCAGGAAAUAGGAGGCUGACUGGCAUACGGAAAGCAGAGAGCUGCUUCAACUUCUAGGGUCUAGGCUAGAAUCUAGGGUACGGAAUAAUACUCAGCUGCUGUUUAUUAUAUGUUUCAGAUUCCAAGGACCAGAAAACCCCACAAGCAGCAAGGCAGCAUGGUAUGCUGGACAAAGCAUGGAUCAGAGGGCCGGAAAGCCUGGGUUCAGAUGUCUGAUGGUGCCCCUUCACUGUGUGGUCUUGGGAAAUUUCCCUCCCCUUUCUGAGUAUCUUUUUCCUCAUCUGUGAAAGGAACUGUCCCGGUCUUCACAGAGCCGCUGAUAGCUUAAGCGAGUCCUGUGUGUAACGUGCAGGCUUGAGUGAGCUAUCCCUCCUUCUUGUGCCUCAGUCUUCUCUAUUGCACAAAGAGGGAGCUGGAGGAGAUGGUUCUGGACGGCCAAUUCCUUCCAGAUCUUUUUUUUUUUUUUUUGAGAUGCAGUCUCGCUCUGUCGCCCAGGCUGGAGUGCAGUGGUGCGAUCUCGG